GGGGGAAUAGCUCAGUGGUAGAGCGUGUGCUUAGUAUGCACGAGGUCCUGGGCUUAAUCCUCAGUACCUCCA
rnacentral:tRNA from 1 species